AGCUUGCAAAGUUGCUAUCUUUGCUGUUUUGCUGCUUUUGUAUGCUCGAUUUUAUCGUGGUACCGCCUGCUUUUCUCUGAUUCUGCCCCGAAGCUUUUUUUGCAGCCAGACAGGUUAGUGUUUCUGGUUCUCCUCUCUUUCCUACUUCUUUUAUAUUUUGCUAUCUAUAUUCCGUCUCUAUCACUUGUAUUUUCUGCUAUGUGGUUGGUUGCAUCUUCUUAGAGCCUCACUUCUUUGACUUGAAUUGCGGGAGCUUAUUUACUACUUCCCGAAACUUUUGGAUGACUUUGUUGGGUUAACAAGGAGCUUUUCAACUCCUGUUCCUGUACUAUUACUGCUGAAGGAUGGAAAUUAUAGACAGCCUUGCAUUUCAUGCUGAACUACUUUUUGUUACUUAUUUUAUGUGUCCAUUUCGUUUGUUUGCUGCUUAUUUCCUAGCUGUUGGAUUUCUUAUCUUCCUGCUCGUUGCUUGCUUAUUAAUUUUAGCUUGGACAUUUACAGACCUGUU